AUUUUUUUUGCCAAUGGAAAAAAAUACGGUGUAACACCAUAAAAUGGAAGCUUGGCAAAAUUAUUUAUUGCUAUGGGUGCCAGUAAAAAAAUUCAACUUACGUUUUUUAUUUUUCAGUAUUUUUUUUGUUUGAAAUUAAACAAAACACAACUUACGUUUUUCAGCCUGCAACAUUUGAAGUUUUUUUGGUUUUUGAGAAAAGCAAGAAUGCAGGUUGCGUUUGUCAGAAAGAAUUUAUUAAUUUUUUUUAAAGUAAAACGCAGCUUGCGUUUGUCAGAUUGACUUAUUUAAAAUUUUUUGGACGAAGAGAAAAUGUAGGUUGCAUUUUAGUUGGGCCGAAAUUUUUUUUUUAAAUCUACAAAAUAUAGCUUACGUUUUGUUUGUGAAAUAAUAUUUUAAUAAAAAGUCUUGCAUAUAAAUUGCUAACGCAGCUAAUUUCAACUUGCACCUCACUUCUGCUUCCUCACUUGUACUCUCAUUUUCCUUUCUUUCAUGUAUUUUAUGCUUGUGAGAUUUUUUGGUUAUUAGAAGGGUAAAAAAAAGUGAGAAUAUGGAGAAUAUUGUAAAUAUACGAGUGUAUUAUAACGGUGAGAUUAUAUCGAACACAAACGAAAGAGUGACUUUUGUUUGUGAAUAUCCGUUUUCAUUUGCUAUUCCAUACGGCACGAGUUUUGUAGAGUUGCAAAAUGGUCUUUGUGUGAACAUACAAAGUCACAUUUCGAAAAAGGUGAGCAACAUUUUGUACAGGAAUCCUGUACAAGUAUUUGGUGGGAUGAUACAAUUUUAAAUAAUGUCCAUCCCUGAUGAAGCAAGCAUGCAGCAGAUGUUCUAUAUUUAUCGAUAAACCCGAUUUCACAUGCUAGUGAUAGAGCUGUACAUUGAGUUCGAACAACAUACGGGGCUGGACGCGUUUGACGAGGAGGUCAACGUUGACGAGCUCGGGGAUAUAGAUUGAGAAGAAGCUAACAACGACAGUGAAGAGGAGUUCGAAGCCAACUAUGAAGUCGAUGACGAAAAUGAUGACGGCCGCGGAGAUCUGGCAGGCAAUCCGGCGAUGCAUAAUGAGGCGGAUGAAAUCGUAAGUCAGCACCCGUUUGGUGUUCCGUCAUUUAUGCGUACUCUAGAUCUCGAAGUCAUGCAUGCCCCGAAAUUUCCUGAGUAUGUGAACAUGGGUGAAGGCAACACUGCGGCAGAAGAUGGUAAGUUUAGUGUUGGAAUAGAAUUUGGUUCGAGAGAGUCGGUGAUAUCUGCAAUCAAAAGCUACACUAUCUAUAGAGGAGCUGAUUACGCUGUGUAUGAGUUUGAACCGUAGACAUUCUAUGCAAAAUGCAAGGGUUAUGGUGCAGGUUGUGAUUGGCUUAUUCGAGCUAGCUUGAUUCGAAAGAAAGCUUGUUGGGAGAUCAGAAGAUAUAAUGGCAAACACACGUGCACCGUAGGCAUGAUUUCACAAGAUCAUGCCAAUUUGGACUCAGACACAAUUGCAGAAGCUAUUAGGCCAUUGGUCGAAGCAGAUCCGUCGAUAAAGGUGAAGUCUAUUAUUGCAGAAGUUCAAUCCAAGUUCAAUUACACUUUAAGUUACCGCAAGACUUGGUUGGCAAAGCAGAAAUCUGUCGCAAAAAUUUUCGGUGAUUGAGAAGUUUCUUACCAGACUCUGCCAGUAUGGUUGAAAGCAAUAACUAUGAAGAUGCCAAGGUCUCGUGUUCAAAUUAAAAUGCUCCCCGUUUACCGUGAGAGUUAAGAGGUUUAAGGUGUAAGAGUUCUGCACCGCAUUUUUUGGAGCUUCUAUCCGUGUAUUGUAGCAUUCAGACAAUGCAAGCCACUGGUGCAGGUUGAUGGCAUGCACCUGUACGAAAAAUAUAAAGGUAUACUUCUAGUAGCGAUUGCAAAAGAUGGGAACCAAAACAUUAUGCCUAUUGAAUUUGCGAUAGUCGAGGGCGAGACGGUAGACACAUGAGAGUUUUUUCUAAUCAAUUUGUGGAAAUAUGUUGUUACCAUUGAUAGUGUGGGUAUUAUUUCUGACCGCCAUACCUCCAUCAACGCUGCAAUAGCUUGCAGUAACAGUGCAAGGUCACCACCAAAAAUAUGGUACAUGUACUUGUACAUCGGGUCCAACUUCUUAAAGAGGUUCAAAACUCCAUAUUUGUAUAAACUUGUGGUGAAUAAUAAUAAUAAUAAUAAUAAUAUCUCA